rnacentral:rRNA from 1 species
UACAGAGGUCUCAAGCGUUGUUCGGAUUCAUUGGGCGUAAAGGGUGCGUAGGCGGCGCGGUAAGUCGGGUGUGAAAUCUCGGAGCUUAACUCCGAAACUGCAUUCGAUACUGCCGUGCUUGAGGACUGGAGAGGAGACUGGAAUUUACGGUGUAAGCGGUGAAAUGCGUAGAUAUCGUAAGGAAGACCAGUGGCGAAGGCGGGUCGUCUGGGCAGUUCCUGACACUGAGGCACGAAGGCCAGGGGAGCAAACGGG